GCAAAUGUAAAACACAGAAUGGCUUGCUGAAAUGUGUUUAAAUAUAUUGCUGUUCUAUGUAAAGAACAUCCGCCAAGGUCGGUCCCCCUACAUUUUUAACACGCCAAAUCUGGCCCCCUUUGCAAAAAGUUUGGACACCCCUGAACUAGAGUCUCUAGAUUCCAAAGUUUGUUCUAAUUCCUUUUCUGGGUUAAAAGUGAGUUCUUCACAGUUUCUAACAAGUAAUAAUCUAAAAAUCUCUGAUAAAGGUGGAAUAAUCAAGAGUGAGUCUUUGAGAGUUCAGCCAUAAGAUUCCAGGGUGACUUCAAGGAGGGGUGAAAAGAUGGGAAGGAGCAGUUUGUUCACAUAAACUCCAGGAGAGUCCAGAUAUCCAGAAGGCCACACAGAUUCAGAAGAACAAAUUCUCUUUAGAUCUGGCAGACUUAACAUUUCUGUCUGUCCUCGAGUCUUUAACCGUUAUAUCUCUUCUAGUUCAUCCCAAUUAUUCAAAUUAAUGUGGUUGUUCCACUGAACCAAUGAAAGCAACUUCUCCAAGAUCGAUUCCAUCCCAUUAGUGAGUUUUUGAGUCCUCAGCUGGGCUGCAAGCCUCAGCAAGACUCACAUCCAACUUGCGUCUCUGUCCACACCAACAGUCUGAGUGUUCGCUAGUUUGGCCAAGUCUGUCACAAAUUUGUCAAUAAGCCAGGAAUCCACAAGCCCCAAACAGCAGAAAUCCUGUUACCAUGAAUAAAUCCAGGGUGUAUCCUGCUGGACGUGUCCCCGCAGGACAAGAGGGCUCUCCUGUGCCCAGUCUUCUCGUUGAGAAAAUUUGAUCAAUUGCAUUGCGAGACAAGUUGACCAGAUCCAUAAUUUGUAGAUUCGGAGGGUGUACAAAGAAAGGCUUCAAAAAAGCAACACAAGAGCAAGCAGGACGAGAAUGAGUAGGGAGAG